rnacentral:rRNA from 1 species
AUGAACGCUAGCGGCAGGCUUAACACAUGCAAGUCGAGGGGCAGCGUGGGGCAGCAAUGCUCCGACGGCGACCGGCGGAAGGGUGCGUAACACGUGAGCGACUUGCCCGUCACAGGGGGAUAACCGGCGGAAACGGCGACUAAUACCCCAUAUGAUGUGAUGCUGCAUGGCAUCGCAUUGAAAGAUUCAUCGGUGGCGGAUAGGCUCGCGGGACAUUAGCUAGACGGCGGGGCAACGGCCCACCGUGGCGACGAUGUCUAGGGGUUCUGAGAGGAAGACCCCCCACACUGGGACUGAGACACGGCCCAGACUCCUACGGGAGGCAGCAGUGAGGAAUAUUGGUCAAUGGGCGGAAGCCUGAACCAGCCAUGCCGCGUGAAGGACUAAGGCCCUACGGGUCGUAAACUUCUUUAGACGCAGAGCAAUAAGGUCCACGUGUGGACCGAUGAGAGUAUGCGUAGAAUAAGCAUCGGCUAACUCCGUG